rnacentral:rRNA from 1 species
GACAGAGGGUGCAAACGUUGUUCGGAAUUACUGGGCGUAAAGCGCGUGUAGGCUGCUUCGCAAGUCGGAUGUGAAAGCCCUGGGCUCGACCCAGGAAGUGCAUUCGAAACUGCAGAGCUGGAGUCCUGGAGAGGAAGGCGGAAUUCUCGGUGUAGAGGUGAAAUUCGUAGAUAUCGAGAGGAACACCGGUGGCGAAGGCGGCCUUCUGGACAGUGACUGACGCUGAGACGCGAAAGCGUGGGGAGCAAACAGG